rnacentral:rRNA from 1 species
UACGUAGGGUGCGAGCGUUAAUCGGAAUUACUGGGCGUAAAGCGCGUGUAGGCGGCUUGCAAGUCGGAUGUGAAAGCCCACGGCUCAACCGUGGAAGUGCAUCCGAAACUGCAUGGCUGGAGUCUCGGAGAGGAAGGUGGAAUGCUUGGUGUAGAGGUGAAAUUCGUAGAUAUCAAGCAGAACACCUGCGGCGAAGGCGGCCUUCUGGACGAUGACUGAC